UGGCCCGCUGAGGACAUAGACUAUGCCGUCUACCUGGCCAGGAGAAACAUCCGAAGAGGGGAUACUGGAGCCCUAUGAGCAGCAACACUACGACAGUCUCCACAAAUGGAUGAACCCCAAGUGGGAUUUCAUCGUGAUGCAGGCCACAGAACAGUACAAGGCUAAUAAAGAGAGGAAGAAGCCAGACAGAGUGGUGUUGGACUGUCAGGAGAGAGCCUACUGGAUAGUACACAGGCCACCAGUGAGUACAGACCCACCAACGUGUGUGUGUGUGUCCACAAGGACAGGAUAUUGUUGCUGUCAGCCUAUGAGCUCCAUAGCGUCUUGUCCUGCUGUCUCUCCAUUCACUGUGACUCUGUUUGGUGA